CUCUUCCCUGCAAGGAUCAGUGUUUAGCAUAUCAUCUUUUAUAUCAAAAAUAUCUUUGUUCAAACAAUCAAUGAUAUCUAAAUUAUCAACAAGUUCUGUUUGAUCUGUUUGUUGGGACAAACAGUAUUCUGGUUGUGUUUCUUCAGCAACUUGUACUUGCCAACUUUCAUCAUCAUCCCAUACAUCUUGAAGCUCUUCCUCUCUUCUUAACAUGGUUGCAUUCAUUGACGCAGUCAGCUGUCUUAUGUCCUGUCGUACGCUUUGCAUAGAUGUGGUCAUUUGGCCUAGGUCUUG
rnacentral:lncRNA from 1 species